AUUGAACGCUGGCGGCAGGCCUAACACAUGCAAGUCGAGCGGAUGAAGGGAGCUUGCUCCUGGAUUCAGCGGCGGACGGGUGAGUAAUGCCUAGGAAUCUGCCUGGUAGUGGGGGAUAACGUCCGGAAACGGGCGCUAAUACCGCAUACGUCCUGAGGGAGAAAGUGGGGGAUCUUCGGACCUCACGCUAUCAGAUGAGCCUAGGUCGGAUUAGCUAGUUGGUGGGGUAAAGGCCUACCAAGGCGACGAUCCGUAACCGGUCUGAGAGGAUGAUCAGUCACACUGGAACUGAGACACGGUCCAGACUCCUACGGGAGGCAGCAGUGGGGAAUAUUGGACAAAGGGCGAAAGCCUGAUCCAGCCAUGCCGCGUGUGUGAAGAAGGUCUUCGGAUUGUAAAGCACUUAAAGUUGGGAGGAAGGGCAGUAAGUUAAUACCUUGCUGUUUUGACGUUACCAACAGAAUAAGCACCGGCUAACUUCGUG
rnacentral:rRNA from 1 species